rnacentral:rRNA from 1 species
CGAUUGAAGUCAGUCGUACUGGCGCGAAAUCAACCCUCUCGUCGAGAGGACACAUGGCGUGGCGAGCCUCAAAACCGUCACGAAGCGUGAACUCUUGGCGAAAAGGAGCACUUUCGUGUCCGCUGGUUAACAUCAAUUUCGAACGUCAUAAAAAGGCUGGAGGGAUGUGGCUCCUUCGGGAGUGUUAUAACCUUUAGCGGAAUGUGGUGGUCGGGAUUGAGGAUUGCAACGAAUACCUUUAGGGCUGUUCCACCUGGCUUCUCUUUGGCAUCCUGGUGACGACAGCUUGCU